GAUGAACGCUGGCGGCAUGCCUAAUACAUGCAAGUCGAACGAGAGGAAGGAAAGCUUGCUUUUCUGAAUCUAGUGGCGAACGGGUGAGUAACACGUAGGUAACCUGCCCAUGUGCCCGGGAUAACUUCUGGAAACGGAUGCUAAAACCGGAUAGGUAGCAGACAAGCAUUUGACUGCUAUUAAAGUGGCUAAGGCCAUGAACAUGGAUGGACCUGCGGGGCAUUAGCUAGUUGGUGAGGUAACGGCCCACCAAGGCGACGAUGCAUAGCCGGCCUGAGAGGGCGGGCGGCCACAUUGGGACUGAGACACGGCCCAAACUCCUACGGGAGGCAGCAGUAGGGAAUUUUCGUCAAUGGGGGGAACCCUGAACGAGCAAUGCCGCGUGAGUGAGGAAGGUCUUCGGAUCGUAAAGCUCUGUUGUAAGAGAAAAACGACAUUCAUAGGGAAUGAUGAGUGAGUGAUGGUAUCUUACCAGAAAGUCACGGCUAACUACGUGCCAGCAGCCGCAGUAA
rnacentral:rRNA from 1 species